ensembl:lncRNA
CAGCCUAAUAAAUGUCAACGAACAAGUCAGAGAAAUGUUUGUCAGGGACCAUGCGUCCAAGGAGAGGAUUUAUUAUCCAUAGACGCCCACUUAAAGGUCUUACAGUGCCAAUAUCAGAAGAUGCAACCAGAUACCAUGGUGGUUCAUAACCGUAUGCAGCAAAUGUUUGCUUGGCGGCAAAAAGAAAUUGCAGAUGGUAUGCCUGUGGAGGAUGUGUUGAAGAAGUACCCCUUCUUAGGGAUGCCUACUGGUCUGUGCAACGAACUCGGGUGGAUCCAACCAACAACGGGUAAUGUAAGCCAGCGAUUUCGUGAAGGGCUCUCAUGUGUUGCAGCAAAGGUGAUUGACCUUACACGAGGAAAACCCCACUCUACCAGCUCUACCUUGAUGCAAGAGAGGAGGCUCUCACUGAUGACCUACCAGAUCUUGACACAAGGGCUGCACUUUUAUUCCUGCC